rnacentral:rRNA from 1 species
UACAGAGGGGGCAAGCGUUGUUCGGAAUUACUGGGCGUAAAGGGCGCGUAGGCGGCCUUCUAAGUCGAACGUGAAAUCCCUGGGCUCAACCCAGGAACUGCGUCCGAUACUGGGAGGCUUGAAUCCGGGAGAGGGAUGUGGAAUUCCAGGUGUAGCAGUGAAAUGCGUAGAUAUCUGGAGGAACACCGGUGGCGAAGGCGGCAUCCUGGACCGGUAUUGACGCUGAUGCGCGAAAGCCAGGGGAGCAAACGGG